rnacentral:rRNA from 1 species
AACCAACCGGGAUUGCCUCAGUAACGGCGAGUGAAGCGGCAAGAGCUCAAAUUUGAAAGCUGGCCCCUCCGGGGUCCGCGUUGUAAUUUGCAGAGGAUGCUUUGGGUGCGGCCCCCGUCUAAGUGCCCUGGAACGGGCCGUCAGAGAGGGUGAGAAUCCCGUCUUGGGCGGGGUGUCCGUGCCCGUGUAAAGCUCCUUCGACGAGUCGAGUUGUUUGGGAAUGCAGCUCUAAAUGGGUGGUAAAUUUCAUCUAAAGCUAAAUACUGGCCGGAGACCGAUAGCGCACAAGUAGAGUGAUCGAAAGAUGAAAAGCACUUUGAAAAGAGAGUUAAACAGCACGUGAAAUUGUUGAAAGGGAAGCGCUUGCGACCAGACUCGCCCUCGGGGUUCAGCCGGCACUCGUGCCGGUGUACUUCCCCGGGGGCGGGCCAGCGUCAGCUUGGGCGGCCGGUCAAAGGCCUCCGGAAUGUAGUGCCCCCCGGGGCACCUUAUAGCCGGAGGUGCAAUGCGGCCAGCCUGGGCUGAGGAACGCGCUUCGGCACGGACGCUGGCAUAAUGGUCGCAAACGACCCGUC